GGGAGGUAGUGACAAUAAAUAACAAUACGGGGUUCUUUCGGAUCUCGUAAUUGGAAUGAGUACAAUUUAAAUCUCUUAACGAGGAACAAUUGGAGGGCAAGUCUGGUGCCAGCAGCCGCGGUAAUUCCAGCUCCAAUAGCGUAUAUUAAAGUUGUUGCAGUUAAAAAGCUCGUAGUUGAAUUUCGGGGUUAGCAGGUCGGUCGUGCCAUCGGUAUGAACUGGCCUCGCUGAUCCCUCCCUCUUGACGAACUGUGAUGCCAUUAAUUUGGUGUCGCAGGGAAUCAGGACUGUUACUUUGAAAAAUUAGAGUGUUUAAAGCAGGCUCACGCUUGAAUACAUUAGCAUGGAAUAAUGAAAUAGGACGUUUGAUCCUAUUUUGUUGGUUUCUAGGAUUGACGUAAUGAUUAAUAGGGAUAGUUGGG
rnacentral:rRNA from 1 species